UUCGCCCUUAGAGUUUGAUCCUGGCUCAGGAUGAACGCUAGCUACAGGCUUAACACAUGCAAGUCGAGGGGCAGCAUGAACUUAGCUUGCUAAGUUUGAUGGCGACCGGCGCACGGGUGAGUAACACGUAUCCAACCUGCCGAUGACUCGGGGAUAGCCUUUCGAAAGAAAGAUUAAUACCCGAUGGCAUAGUUCUUCCGCAUGGUGGAACUAUUAAAGAAUUUCGGUCAUCGAUGGGGAUGCGUUCCAUUAGGUUGUUGGCGGGGUAACGGCCCACCAAGCCUUCGAUGGAUAGGGGUUCUGAGAGGAAGGUCCCCCACAUUGGAACUGAGACACGGUCCAAACUCCUACGGGAGGCAGCAGUGAGGAAUAUUGGUCAAUGGACGAGAGUCUGAACCAGCCAAGUAGCGUGAAGGAUGACUGCCCUAUGGGUUGUAAACUUCUUUUAUAAGGGAAUAAACCCUCCCACGUGUGGGAGCUUGUAUGUACCUUAUGAAUAAGCAUCGGCUAACUCCGUGCCAGCAGCCGCGGUAAUACGGAGGAUGCGAGCGUUAUCCGGAUUUAUUGGGUUUAAAGGGAGCGCAGACGGGAGAUUAAGUCAGUUGUGAAAGUUUGCGGCUCAACCGUAAAAUUGCAGUUGAUACUGGUUUCCUUGAGUGCAGUUGAGGCAGGCGGAAUUCGUGGUGUAGCGGUGAAAUGCUUAGAUAUCACGAAGAACCCCGAUUGCGAAGGCAGCUUGCUAAACUGUAACUGACGUUCAUGCUCGAAAGUGUGGGUAUCAAACAGGAUUAGAUACCCUGGUAGUCCACACAGUAAACGAUGGAUACUCGCUGUUGGCGAUAUACUGUCAGCGGCCAAGCGAAAGCAUUAAGUAUCCCACCUGGGGAGUACGCCGGCAAC
rnacentral:rRNA from 1 species